UAUCAACCACAAAUGUAUACUGUGU
rnacentral:piRNA from 1 species